rnacentral:pre_miRNA from 1 species
CACUUCACGCUGCAAGCUAUUGUCAAGUGGUUUAAAUGUCAACAGCUGCUACGUGGAGUGGAG